GGCCUGUGGUGCAUCCUAUAGGGAAACAGCUUGCCAGUCAAGAGGAGGCACGCUACAACAAGCACCAUGCCAAAGCGAGAAGCAAUGCAAUUAGCUUCCCUUGCUAUUAACUUUAGUUGUACCACUCAACUAUGGUUCCAUAUUUUUAUUUUUUUGGGAUUUUUUGCGGCUCUAGUGGCUCGCCCCUUCUGAAAGCAGGCUGACAGGAAGGGGGGCGGAAGAGGGGGAGAGACACGCGGCAACCUGGGUCGACCGCGUCGAUGACCAAGGCCUCCGCACAUGGGCCGCGCCACCCGCUGCGCCACAAGCGCGCCACUAUGGUUCCAUUUUAAACAUAAGACAGGUGUUCCAAAACAAGAGGACUGUGUGUCAUGUUUUGUUCUGAUGACCCGAAUACACCACACACAAAGGUAGGAAUCUUUUGUGAGUUUAUUGAAUGAGAUGGUUGUUAGGUGAUGAGACCAGAAAGACAGGACUGCACGGGAACAGGGGUGUAGAUGAUGGCAGGAGCUGACAGUCCGGAGAGAGUCCCGUGCGAGCCAGAACACAGCAACAGGUCUCACAGCACGGUAGAGAAUGAACCAGAGCACAGCCACAGUUUCUUCAGCGCGGCAGGGGAGACCGGAGCACAACAACAGGUUCUUUAGCACGGCAAGGGAAAUCAGAGCACAGCAGUAGACAGCAAGCAAACCUUAAGGAGGAGCAGAGGUAGCAGGGUUCCAAAGACAAACAGGGGUAACACAGGCGGACAGGCAUGGAGUAGGUGUAGCUUGAUGACGGACCGGCUAAAAUAGGGAGGCUGGCAGGUGAAAUGAGUCUGGCUGAUUAAUGACUAACAGGUGUGACUCACUGCAGAGGGAGUGAAGGGAAACCUAAGUAAGGGGAAAGGAGGAACUGGAACUAACAGAAAUAAAAGUCAAAUUAUAACUAAAACCCAAACAAAGAGGAAAACUGAAAACUAAUAUCAAACAGAAAGCUAAGUCAAAACUCAACCCUGACACUGUGGAACACUGCUUGAACCUUUGUGGGGACCUAAUUUACUCCUUUUGGGACAUGCCUCACACGUUUUGACCGCUCUAAUGCAAGUGGGGUAUCCAAAAAAGUGCAGGUCAUUAGCAUACUUCGAAUCAGAAUCAGACAUACUUUAAUAAUCCCAGAGGGAAAUUAC